UCCUCGUUAGUAUAGUGGUAAGUGUCCCCGCCUGUCACGCGGGAGAUUGGGGUUCGAUUCCCCGAUGGGGAA
rnacentral:tRNA from 1 species